rnacentral:lncRNA from 1 species
UUAUAUGGGCCACACUUCAUCUCACACAUGGUCUCCACCACCAUCCAUCUCUUUCAGAUGUCCUGUGUAGCUCCCCACCCACUGGAAUGACUAAAUGAUGAGGUUAUCACGGAGACGAUUUUGCUAAUGGACCCCAGAAAAUGAAAUCAGCCCUUCCUUCAGCUUUGUUCAACAUGUGUUGACUUCCCAAACCAGCCUAGCCUAACCACACUUAGCUGGAAUGGAUGAAUGUGGCAGAGGAAACUCACUAGAGCAGCAUCUAUGAACAGCAUGAGCAUCGGUGGGCAAUUCUGGAGCGAUGAGGACUCGGAUGGCAACAGCGAUGGUGAGGAUUUCUUCUACGUGGCCCAGAGUGUGGCUGUCCCAGGCUCAAGAUCCACCAUGCACAUCACCACCAGACAGCUCAUUCAGCUCUUCUUCUCCUCACAAGCUCUUAUUCACUGCAAGAGCAUCCCAACCCUGGAGUACGGCUUCCUCGUACAGGUUAUGAAGUACUGAGAGCAGAGUAUUCCCACUCUGAACGAUUAUUGUGUGGUCUGUGAUGAUGUCUUUCAGAAUGGCUCUAUGCUCAAGGUACAACACAUUCUCGGAAAACUCCAUUGAAAUACACUAGUAAAUCCAUAAAAAUAUCAUCUCAGUUUCUUUGUGUAUGUGUAUCGUUCAGAUACGCUGAUGUUUUUGUACAGGUAGUGGACCUGCUGGUGGCAAUGUGUCGUGCUACACUUGAAUCUCCCCGUUAAAGCAUCAUCUUUGACCCUUACCCCUCUGUAGUUGACCCUCAUGACCCCAAAGUCUGAUAUGCGAGAUGUAAACUUGCAAUCGCAAGAAAUAAACUCACAGCUCUGAGAAAAAGGUCUGAAAUGUAAGAUAUAAACAAUUCUGAGAAAAAAAUCUGAAUUAUAUGUUUGUUUUUUACUCCGUGGUGAAAAUAAGCUUCCAUAUAAAUAGCUUCACAUUUUAUAGACAACUAUAUAAAUAUUUGAUAUAUCAAGAGUCUGCAAUUUUACAUCAGCUGUGUCUUAACAUUGUGACCAAGUUUGAAGUGAUAAUACUUCAAAUACUGCUCUAAGUGACCCACUUUCUGUUGCCAGUUGGUGGCGCUAUGACUUACUCACAAUAGCUACACAUUUUUAUAGGAAAUCAAUAGUCCUGGUUAAGGGAAUGCAUGACAACUUAACUCAUAUUUUACAGGGCCCUUACAUUACAACUUAACUACAUAUUUACUAGGGCCUUACAUGAAAUAAGAAAUAGACAACUGGACCCACUUGCACAUCCUCUGCUGCAGUGCAGUGAAACUGUUUCCUUUAAUGGAAUUCUCCGGUUUUCAUUAUUUUCCCGUUAUCAUAAUGACCCUUAAUCUUCUUUUUCUUCUCAGGAUUAUAUCCAGCAACAGGUCUCACAUUGUCAAGCCUCCAGCAGGGUAAGGGCAUUUGAUCACAUUAUCGCUCAAAUAACAGUGUGACUAAACCUUUAUUUCCUCACUCCUACGAUUUUUGCUAACAGCAGCUGAAGUUCAUGCACACCUCCCAUCAGUUCCUGCAAAAGAGGCCCGCUUUCGCACCGCUAGAAAACUCCACGGCAGCGUGAAAUUGUUAAUAAUAUUUUUAGAAUAAAAAACUGGUCUGAGAAUAUGAGAUUAACCACAAUAAAUAAAAAUUGUUAAUAACAUUAUUUCAGAAUAAAUAUCUGGUC